UACGAAGGAUCCAAGCGUUGUCCGGAUUUACUGGGUUUAAAGGGAGCGUAGGCGGGCUAUUAAGUCAGUGGUGAAAGCUUGCAGCUUAACUGUAAAAUUGCCAUUGAAACUGAUAGUCUUGAAUAUGGUUGAGGUGGUUGGAAUAUAUCAUGUAGCGGUGAAAUGCUUAGAUAUGAUAUAGAACACCGAUUGCGAAGGCAGAUCACUAAACCAUUAUUGACGCUGAGGCUCGAAAGCGUGGGGAUCAAAC
rnacentral:rRNA from 1 species